CUUCAUGAAGCCGGAAUUGCUAGUAAUGGCAGGUCAGCAUACUGCCGUGAAUACGUUCCCGGGCCUUGUACACACCGCCCGUCACACCAUGAGAGUUGGAGAUACCCGAAGCCUGUGAGCUAACAAACGAGGCAGCAGUCGAAGGUAGAAUCAAUGAUUGGGGUGAAGUCGUAACAAGGUAAC
rnacentral:rRNA from 1 species